AACGCGUAUAGAAUCUGCCCUGUACUGGGGAAUAGCCCAGAGAAAUUUGGAUUAAUGCCCCAUGGUAUGUUUAAGCGGCAUCGCUUUUACAUUAAAGGCUACGGUACAGGAUGACUAUGCGUCCCAUUAGUUAGUUGGUAAGGUAACGGCUUACCAAGGCAGCGAUGGGUAGGGGCCCUGAGAGGGGGAUCCCCCACACUGGUACUGAGACACGGACCAGACUCCUACGGGAGGCAGCAGUGAGGAAUAUUGGACAAUGGGCGGGAGCCUGAUCCAGCCAUGCCGCGUGCAGGAAGACGGUCCUAUGGAUUGUAAACUGCUUUUGUACGGGAAGAACAAGGGGCACGUGUGCCCUUCUGACGGUACCGUAAGAAUAAGGAUCGGCUAACUCCGUGCCAGCAGCCGCGGUAAUACGGAGGAUCCGAGCGUUAUCCGGAAUCAUUGGGUUUAAAGGGUCCGUAGGCGGGCCAUUAAGUCAGGGGUGAAAGUCUGCGGCUCAACCGUAGAAUUGCCCUUGAUACUGGUGGUCUUGAGUUAUGGUGAAGUAACUAGAAUAUGUAGUGUAGCGGUGAAAUGCAUAGAUAUUACAUAGAAUACCGAUUGCGAAGGCAGGUUACUAACCAUAUACUGACGCUGAUGGACGAAAGCGUGGGGAGCGAACAGGAUUAGAUACCCUGGUAGUCCACGCCGUAAACGAUGGAUACUAGCUGUCCGGAUGCAAAUCUGGGCGGCCAAGCGAAAGUGAUAAGUAUCCCACCUGGGGAGUACGUCCGCAAGGAUGAAACU
rnacentral:rRNA from 1 species